GGCCUUGUAGCCGAGUGGAUAGCGGCGUAAGGCUUAUGUUGCAUGACAUAAGCCGACAAUCCCUGGUUCGAAUCCCGUCAUGGCCU